CGCGGGGUGGAGCAGCUCGGUAGCUCGCUGGGCUCAAAACCCAGCGGGCGCAGGUUCAAACCCUGCCCCCGCUACCA
rnacentral:tRNA from 1 species